rnacentral:rRNA from 1 species
UACGUAGGGUGCAAGCGUUAAUCGGAAUUACUGGGCGUAAAGCGUGCGCAGGCGGUUUUGUAAGUCUGUCGUGAAAUCCCCGGGCUCAACCUGGGAAUGGCGAUGAAGACUGCAAGGCUUGAAUCUGGCAGAGGGGGGUAGAAUUCCACGUGUAGCAGUGAAAUGCGUAGAGAUGUGGAGGAACACCGAUGGCGAAGGCAGCCCCCUGGGUCAAGAUUGACGCUCAUGCACGAAAGCGUGGGGAGCAAACAGG